AUGACCUAGGGAAUCAUGAUUAAUUAUUUGCAGACCAUAUUGAUAUUAGAGGGUGGUGGUUGGUCAUUCUCUUUAUCUACUAUUUGUUGGUGUCUCCAAACAUGACACUAGGGAUCUAAAAGUGGGGAGGUUGAAGCUAAAUGAAGAUCCCGUAAUCACUCUUGUAGGCUCACAUCAUCUAUGGGGAGAUGAACUAAUAUGUACUACCCCUCAAGUACUAUGUGACAUUGUCCAAUACUCUGACACUUUACCUUACACUUACCCACCUUUCCUUUAUAUAUUAAUACCCAAGAUGGAAGUAUGUAUGUGGAUCAACUCCUCCACCUCACAACAUUGACUAGGUGGACUUUUGAAUAUGCUUAAUGACUACUUUUGAU
rnacentral:lncRNA from 1 species